CUCUUUUGAGUUAGUAUGUUAAAGACAUAAUCACUUAUAUUCUGUUCUGGUUUUCAGUGUUGGUGUUUCUUCCCUUGACAGUCCUAACAAGACUCCAAAGUGACAUUACAGAAAUGGUGUAGCAUGGAAACAUUUUAAGUCCCCUGCUGACAGCAUUACUUACCCUAUCCCUGGAGGAGGUGACACUGAAAGACCAACUGACCUUUCUUGCAACACAGAGAAUCAAGGAAGAGUGCCAGGACAGAAGGCUCACCAGGGGGAAGAGAGAAGUCAACAUGGGAGAAUAAACCAAGGAAAGGAAACAGGAAAGAAACUUUGUGGUGCAACAUACUGCUGCUACAAACAGCUGAGCAGCCUGACCAGCAUGGGCACAGCACUGAACUUCCAGGCUUCCCUUCUGAUAGCUGAAUAAUCCUUCUUGUAUGUUUACUUGGUCUUGUGUACUGGUCAUGUUCUAUUUCUGGGUGAAAUUUGUCUUUGACUUUUAUUCCUGAGUGUGCUCAGAAGACGAUAAGGCAGCUGGGGCCUCAAAGCAUUUUUACUUCAGAGCAUCUGUAUCAAAAUUUCGGCUGAACUGCAUACAACACAGAGUAGCAAAAGACCAGGAACAAAAUGUAAAAUGUUGACUCAUGGUGAGGAGUGGUCUGCUUGUUCUCGGAAUUAGUUCAGAAAAGAAUGCUGUUUGUCAGAGGCCGAACAGCUCUGUAGAAGAGAAACAGACCGUAGUGCUCUUCUUCAUGGGCUAAGCUACUCAUGUUAUAUUCACAGAACAACUUACUCUCUGGCUUUAUCAACAAAAAAAGAGUGGAUAGAGUCAUGGCUAAACCUACUACUUUCCUUGCCCUCUGCUUCAUUAUUCUACUUUAAGACUGGCAUCCAAACUGGAAAAAAGUCUUGUACGGAAAAAAUUAAUCAAAUAAGAGUCACGAUUUAGCUGAAACUUAGUUAUCUCACUAUAAAAGCAAAUUCCUUUCAAAUAAGCAUGUGAACUCUUCAUUUUAAAGUUCUGGACAGUGAGAAGGAGUCAAUUCAUGGAGGAGGAAAAGCUGAUCAAAGCUAGCUAAGUUAAAGCUAGUGUUUUGCAAGCCUGCCAGUCAUGAAUGUUUGAUGUUUUUGUGUUGUAUCCUGUAUCUGGUUUCCACUAUAAUCCAGUGUGAGUGCUAGGAUGUCUGUCGCUGUUAGUGGUGUAUCUCAUACCACAGCAAAUGACACAAAAAUAUGACUAAACUUAUGAAGCUGUCCUAGAUGCUACCAAAUGCAUGAAGUAUAAAUUGCAAAAUGCCAAGCACUUUCUCUGCCCCUGCCAAACUAUCUUGUCAGGCAUAAUGAGAUUUCACAGUCUGUAACCUCAUGUAACCUGGACUGAUUGGAUUUGGAUUAUCUCUAUGAGUGCUGUAUGGACCUAUCACUGGCCUUUUUGCCCUGAGGUGACUUGAAAACACUUGCUAGGCUGCUUCCAAAUCUUUUGGGGUCGCUCUUCAGUCACCUGGGCACCUGAGCAGCCCUAGUAGAGGGGAAGCCUCAGACUACUUUCCAACCCACUCUAGUGCCCUGCGUCUCUGCUCCAGCUGCUUCUUCCAUAUUAUUCCUUCUGGCCUGGCAGUGAGAAGGGAGAAUGUGUAAAAGACCCUUGUUACACAUUUCAUAAACCAGAUAUUUGGAUUUGCUGUUCAUGUUAUGUAUGCUGCACAAAGAGUAAGGAACACAAGUGGACUUUUUGCUUCCUAUAUUUAAAUUGUAUCUGCUUCUCUUUCACACUGGUUUGGACCAAUAAAAAAGAUAGUUUUUAACUCAGAUAUUUUUUCCCUUUACUUACUCAUCUCUUCCAAAGACUGUUUAGAAAUGAAAUAAAGAAAGAAGUAAAGGUCUGUUUUGUUCAGUUAAAGUGCUAAGCAAGCCUCUACAAAUUCAGCAAGAUCCAAGGUCACAAGACAUUGCCUCUAAACAAGCACUGGUCACCAUUAAAGAAUUUAGUAACAGCUGAUAUAGACAUCUGAUAUGGUAUAUGGUGAUUUUGAAUGACAAAGAAUUAUCUUUGAAAAUUUCUAACCAUUAAAAGUUUCCAAAAUUGGAAAACAAUAAAUAUUGAAGUGCCAUAAAGCAGUGGGUAAAGGAUCCUUCCUUAAUGCCAGAGAAAAGUGAUGGGAAGGAUCUUUGCGAUUACAUGAAGAGAUGGCUUUUCUGAUACAGCUACACGUGGGCCAUUCAG
rnacentral:lncRNA from 13 species